CGGGGCGUGGCGCAGUCCGGUAGCGCACCGGUUUUGGGAACCGGGGGUCGGCGGUUCAAAUCCGCCCGCCCCGACCA
rnacentral:tRNA from 1 species